AAUAACGUCAUCCCCUAUUGUUAAUAUAAUUAAUAUACUCUAAUGGCAAUCUAUCUUCAACUCUUCAUUGACCAAGGAACUCUAAAAUCAAAAACAUUUUUCAAAAAAGGUGGAUGUUUACAAAUAUAUCCUUAAGACGAGUUGCUACUAUUAUCCGUACUUGCUAAUAUACCGAAGAACCAAUUUACACGAAUCAAAAGGUCUGCACAGGGACUGAUUUCCAAGAUCAGGCAAACUUUCUGAAAGGAAGAUUUUUGAAAAAAAGAAUAUAGCUGCGAUGUGGAUCAGACACUAAAAUAAAUAAUGAGAAU